rnacentral:lncRNA from 1 species
CGGCGUGCCGGAUCGAGUGUGCCUGCGUGCUUAGUCGCUCAGUCGUGGCCGACUCUUUUGCAACCAUUUGGACUGGAGCCCACCAGGCUCCUCUGUCCAUGGGAUUCUCCAGGCAAGAAUACCGCAGUGGGUUGCUGUUUCUUCCUCCAGGGGAUCUUCCCAACCCAGGGAUCAAACCAGUGUAAAUACCAAGAGACUUCUACGCUGGAUCAGCUGUCCAUAAAUUCUAAAGCUCCACAGUAUCUCUACCGCUGCUGUCCAGUCACCCAGCCGUGCCCAGCUCUUUGCAACCCCAUGGACUGCAGCACACCAGCCCUCCCUGUCCCUCAUCGUCUCCUGGAGUUUGACCAAGUUCAUGUCCAUUGCAUCGGUGAUGCCAUCCAGCCAUCUCAUCCUCUGAGGCCCUCUUCUCCUCCUGCCUUCAGUCUUUCCCAGCAUCAGGAACUUUUCCAGGGAGUCAGCUGUUCGCCUAUUAAUAUGUGUAUUUUGUUCACAAUAUCUCUAUAGUGAUCAUCAAAC